rnacentral:lncRNA from 1 species
GUCACAGUAUUGUCUGGUUCAAAUAUAACAGUAAAUUUGACCGGGUCGGAUCCAGACAUGCAUGUAGUGUUGUCGAUCUUAGACCAAGACAAGAAUCCUCCUGGCGGAAUUUGUGGGAAUGUAACAUGGUUAUAUAUACCUGGUAUUGGAAAUGUAGCAGCAAAUGGUCAAAAGGAACCAGAAUUUCUUAAAGCAUGGACGUAA